CCUACGGGAGGCAGCAGUGAGGAAUAUUGGUCAAUGGACGAGAGUCUGAACCAGCCAAGUAGCGUGAAGGAUGACUGCCCUAUGGGUUGUAAACUUCUUUUAUAUGGGAAUAAAACGUUCCACGUGUGGGAUUUUGUAUGUACCAUAUGAAUAAGGAUCGGCUAACUCCGUGCCAGCAGCCGCGGUAAUACGGAGGAUCCGAGCGUUAUCCGGAUUUAUUGGGUUUAAAGGGAGCGUAGGUGGAUUGUUAAGUCAGUUGUGAAAGUUUGCGGCUCAACCGUAAAAUUGCAGUUGAAACUGGCAGUCUUGAGUACAGUAGAGGUGAGCGGAAUUCGUGGUGUAGCGGUGAAAUGCUUAGAUAUCGCGAAGAACUCCGAUUGCGAAGGCAGUUCACUGGACUGCAACUGACACUGAGGCUCGAAAGUGUGGGUAUCAAACAGGAUUAGAUACCCUAGUAGUC
rnacentral:rRNA from 1 species